rnacentral:rRNA from 1 species
UACGAAGGGGGCUAGCGUUGUUCGGAAUUACUGGGCGUAAAGGGCGCGUAGGCGGAUCGGCAAGUCAGAAGUGAAAUCCCUGGGCUCAACCCAGGAAUUGCUUUUGAGACUGCCAGUCUUGAGUACAGGAGAGGUGAGUGGAAUUCCCAGUGUAGAGGUAAAAUUCGUAGAUAUUGGGAGGAACACCAGUGGCGAAGGCGGCUCACUGGCCUGUAACUGACGCUGAGGCGCGAAAGCGUGGGGAGCAAACAGG